UGCCAGCCGCCGCGGUAAUACGGAGGGUGCAAGCGUUGUCCGGAUUUAUUGGGUUUAAAGGGUGCGUAGGCGGUAAAUUAAGUCAGAGGUGAAAGCCCACAGCUUAACUGUGGAACUGCCUUUGAUACUGGUUUACUUGAGUACACUUGAGGUAGGCGGAAUUUAUGGUGUAGCGGUGAAAUGCAUAGAUACCAUAAGGAACUCCGAUAGCGAAGGCAGCCUACUAAAUUGUUACUGACGCUGAGGCACGAAAGCAUGGGGAGCGAACAGGAUUAGAUA
rnacentral:rRNA from 1 species